AGUGUUUAUAGCCCUGUGAGUUUAACACUUCAUGACUGAGAGCUGUCCUUCAUGACAACAGAACCCAAAACAACCAUGACAUUUAUCACCAUAUUCAUCUGGAUAUUUGCCCUCUGUCUCCAAGAAUCCAGAGGACAGUUCACUGUGACUCAGACUCCUGCAGUGAAAACUGUUCUACCAGGACAGACAGUCUCUCUGAACUGUAAAACCAGCAGUGAUGUGAAUGGUGCAGGAGGCUCUAUUCCCCGUCUAGCCUGGUACCAACAGAAACCUGGAGGAGCUCCUAAACGCCUUAUUUACUAUGCUACAACACUUCAGUCUGGGACUCCAUCUAGAUUCAGUGGCAGUGGAUCUGGGAGUGACUUCACUCUGACCAUCAGUGGAGUCCAAGCUGAAGAUGCAGGAGAUUACUACUGUCAGAGUGAACACUACAUCAAUAGUAAAUAUGUGUUCACACAGUGA